rnacentral:rRNA from 1 species
UCUUAGUGGCGGACGGGUGAGUAACGCGUGGAUAAUCUACCUAUCAGAGGGGAACAACUCAGGGAAACUUGAGCUAAUACCGCAUAAUAAUCACAUAUCGCAUGAUGAGUGAUUCAAAGGAGUAAUUCGCUGAUAGAUGAGUCCGCGUAAGAUUAGCUAGUUGGUAAGGUAAUGGCUUACCAAGGCUACGAUCUUUAGCCGGACUGAGAGGUCGAACGGCCACAUUGGGACUGAGACACGGCCCAGACUCC